UGGCCCUUCCUCUUUUCUUUUGUUCUAUCAUUACGUAACCAAAAAUUGUGGCAGUUUUCAGUAUCAGUUGGCAGUUUGCCUCGUGUUCAGGUGUCUCAAGUUUAUUUCUCUGCAAGGUGUUGUCCGUGUUUAAACUAAAGUGCCAAAUUGUAGUGAAAGAUAAUUUUGUGGCCAAUCACAGUUCCUGGAUCAAUUUCGCUUAUUUUAUAUUCGGGGAGGAGGAGCGAAAGGAAUCCGCACGGUUGGGCCAUCAUCAACUCAUCAUCUCUCGUCCAUUGCCGCGCUCGUGUGUCGUCGACUGAUGACAGCGCGCAAUUACACGAAAACGGAUUACACCCAGGAAUAAGGGACGGGACGGGGAGAGAAGAAGAAGAUUCCCUCGCGUGAUUGAGCGGGCAAGUGUGGCGGAACAAGCUUAUAACACACAGCAGCAGGAGCCGACCGAUAUUAGAGCAGCAGCAGUAUAGCAGUAGCCUGAUGGCGAAGAAGAAAAGAAACAAGGCGAAGCAGCAAGAACAAUCUGCUGCUCUAAAAGUGAGCACAGACAGACAGACAGACCCGCCUGGGUAGAUAUGUACAGUCGGCCAACGUUAAAUGGAUUUUGUGUCGACAGAUUAAAUAUGCCGGGCAGAUUAGUUGAUCAACUGAGUAUCUUAAUACUCAUAACUCGUUUCGUUGAUUACAUUUUUUU